AAUUGAAGAGUUUGAUCAUGGCUCAGAUUGAACGUUGGCGGCAGGCCUCAUACAUGCAAGUCGAACGGUAACAGCGGAGCUUGCUCCGGCUGACGAGUGGCGGACGGGUGAGUAACGCGUGGGAAUCUACCUAGUAGCGGGGGACAACUCGGGGAAACUCGAGCUAAUACCGCAUAAUCCCUUCGGGGGAAAGGCUUCGGCCACUAUUAGAUGAGCCCGCGUCCGAUUAGCUUGUUGGUGAGGUAACUGCUCACCAAGGCUACGAUCGGUAGCUGGUCUGAGAGGAUGAUCAGCCACACUGGGACUUAGACACGGCCCAGACUCCUACGGGAGGCAGCAGUGGGGAAUAUUGGACAAUGGGCGCAAGCCUGAUCCAGCCAUACCGCGUGUGUGAAGAAGGCCCUAGGGUUGUAAAG
rnacentral:rRNA from 1 species